GCAUGACUGAUUAGACAGCUGUCCUUCUCAGAUCCAGAAGCCAUCCAUACAUCUCCCAUUCUCCUCCAAGUACAACAAUGGGCCAAGGAAGAACCAUGUCGAACUUGGUACAGAAGCUGAUGCGGGAAGGAUCCUGCACCUAUCGAUCCCCUUCUGAGCCCCCGCUUACUGUCUGAAAAACAUGGAGGAAAAAACACAGUCCAGGGCUGUAUAGCUAAUACGGAAAACAUUAUGAAUGUCCCACAAAGAUGAUCCAUCCAAGAGCAGCACAGGCCUGUAGGGAGAGCUGAGUUCCCAUCUAGCUCUUGCUGAUUUAGCAUCUCAUCCCCCGUUCCUGAGUCAUGGAAACAUGUGCUGAUUACAAAACAAAUUAACC